GCUUACGGCCACACCGCCUGGUUCACGCCCGAUCUCGUUUGAUCUCGGGAGCUAAGAUAGGUUGGGCCUGGUUAGUACUUGGAUGGGAGACCGCCUAGGAAUACCAGGUGCUGUAAGGC
ensembl:rRNA 5S_rRNA 5S ribosomal RNA